AAACUAUGAACACCAAGUGUUUGAUGAAAUGCCUACAAGAAUGAAUUUUGAAUGAAUGCUUUCACAUUAUGUUCUCAAAGUUUUAGUACUAUUUUGCUAUUAUUGCAAUCGAGUCCUGGGGGUUAUGAAUACCCAAAAAACAUAGUUGUUUACUUAGUCUUGGUAUCUUCAGGAUAGUUUCAAUUAUGUUAUGAGCAUUAUCAGUUGAGUCAGUUAUCAUAAUCAGUUAAACUCAGAACAAUUUAGUAUUCUGAGUCAAUUUAGUUGGG
rnacentral:lncRNA from 1 species